rnacentral:rRNA from 1 species
ACGGGAGGCAGCAGUGGGGGAUAUUGCACAAUGGGGGAAACCCUGAUGCAGCGACGCCGCGUGAGCGAAGAAGUAUUUCGGUAUGUAAAGCUCUAUCAGCAGGGAAGAAAAUGACGGUACCUGACUAAGAAGCUCCGGCUAAAUACGUGCCAGCAGCCGCGGUAAUACGUAGGUGGCAAGCGUUGUCCGGAAUGACUGGGCGUAAAGGGAGCGUAGGCGGCGCAACAAGUUAGGAGUGAAAUCCCGGGGCUUAACCCCGGAACUGCUUUUAAAACUGUUGUGCUUGAGUGAUGGAGAGGAAAGCAGAAUUCCUAGUGUAGCGGUGGAAUGCGUAGAUAUUAGGAGGAACGCCAGAGGCGAAGGCGGCUUUCUGGACAUUAACUGACGCUGAGGCUCGAAAGCGUGGGGAGCAAACAGGAUUAGAUACCCUGGUA